AUGGGCGCCGGACUAUAUGGGUACCUAGAUCAAACCACACCCGAGCCAGCCAAAACCAUCAUCACCAAAAACUCAGAAGGAAAGGAUCAGAUUGUUCCAAACCCUCCCUAUAACCCAUGGCUGAUUCAAGAUCAGCAGAUUGUAGCCUUUCUCCUUCGAAAUCUCUCAAAGGAGGUACUCAUCCAGGUUGCUUCUUUAGAAACUUCCCACGCCAUAUGGUCAGCCCUAGCAAAGAUGUUCACCGCACAAUCUCUCUCCCGUGUAAAGAACUGCCGCAUAGCCCUAUCCAAUGCCCAGAAAGGUUCACAGAGUGCCACAACCUAUUUUGGU
rnacentral:rRNA from 1 species